UGUGUAGCUCGCAUGGAUGUCCAGCGAGGGACCAACAGUCAAGACCGGCCUCGGCAGAUCAAGAACCAUGAGACCAAAAAAACAAAGAUAGAGGUUGCCCACGAGGUCAUUUACAACCUCUUUUUAGGCAUACAGAAGUUGGCACACAAGGUGUUCUAGGAUCUGCCCGGUACUGCGGUGAUGUAUGAUCUUUGUUAGAUUACAUACCAUAUACGUAUGACAUUUAUGUGAAAGAACGUGGUACAAAAGUGGUUUCCUGGCAUAAGUGUUGUUCAAUGUCAGAAUAUAUAUAUAGCCUUGUAAGCUUGCCACUGGUGUUUUAAAAUAUUAAAUUAGGCCAAACUAUAAUGCUACACACUCUUUCCUCCUUUGAGCAUGGAAAGACAUAC